rnacentral:rRNA from 1 species
GCUGACGAGUGGCGGACGGGUGAGUAAUGCCUGGGAAACUGCCUGAUGGAGGGGGAUAACUACUGGAAACGGUAGCUAAUACCGCAUAACGUCGCAAGACCAAAGAGGGGGACCUUCGGGCCUCUUGCCAUCGGAUGUGCCCAGAUGGGAUUAGCUAGUAGGUGGGGUAACGGCUCACCUAGGCGACGAUCCCUAGCUGGUCUGAGAGGAUGACCAGCCACACUGGAACUGAGACACGGUCCAGACUCCUACGGGAGGCAGCAGUGGGGAAUAUUGCACAAUGGGCGCAAGCCUGAUGCAGCCAUGCCGCGUGUAUGAAGAAGGCCUUCGGGUUGUAAAGUACUUUCAGCGGGGAGGAAGGGAGUAAAGUUAAUACCUUUGCUCAUUGACGUUACCCGCAGAAGAAGCACCGGCUAACUCCGUGCCAGCAGCCGCGGUAAUACGGAGGGUGCAAGCGUUAAUCGGAAUUACUGGGCGUAAAGCGCACGCGGGCGGUUUGUUAAGUCAGAUGUGAAAUCCCCGGGCUCAACCUGGGAACUGCAUCUGAUACUGGCAAGCUUGAGUCUCGUAGAGGGGGGUAGAAUUCCAGGUGUAGCGGUGAAAUGCGUAGAGAUCUGGAGGAAUACCGGUGGCGAAGGCGGCCCCCUGGACGAAGACUGACGCUCAGGUGCGAAAGCGUGGGGAGCAAACAGGAUUA